GCUGCUAUGAGGCUAUGUUGUGGGAAAGGUUGACAUAAUAACAGGGUCCUAGCAGACGAAUAAGAAGAAAAAAAUCAUUGAUAGAACACGUCACACUAUUUUAUAUCCAAAAUAUCACAUCUGUCUCGAUACUUCUCGCCUGGAAAUCGUGAGAAAGAGUUUCUUAAGAUUUUUAUUACUUUUAUUACCUACAAUUAUUUGAAGAAAUAGACGGAGUCUAAAUUUAAAUUGGCAAAAAGAUAUUAUUUACGUUCCAAGGAUAUUAAGCUCAUAUUUUUAAAAAAAUACUUUAUAGGCCAUUUCAAUGUGAUAAUUAUUUAUUAUGUCUUUAUAAAAAUUAU